AAGAGGGAACCCGGUGCGAGUCCGGGACUGCCCCGCAGCGGUGAGUGGGAACGACCGCCGUCACGAGAGCACUGGGAGCACCCGCUCCUGGGAAGCGACGGCCAGUAGGUACGAGAUCGGCGUCCACGAGUCCGAAGACCU
rnacentral:ncRNA from 2 species